rnacentral:rRNA from 1 species
CCUACGGGGGACAGCAGUGGGGAAUAUUGCGCAAUGGGCGAAAGCCUGACGCAGCGACGCCGCGUGAGGGAUGAAGGUCUUCGGAUUGUAAACCUCUGUCAGCAGGGAAGAACGGUCACUGUGCUAAUCAGCAGUGAAUUGACGGUACCUGCAAAGGAAGCACCGCAUAACUCCGUGCCAGCAGCAGAGGUAAGACGGAGGGUGCGAGCGUUAAUCGGAUUUACUGGGCGUAAAGGGCUCGUAGGCGGUAUGUCAAGUCAAGGGUGAAAGCCCCGGGCUCAACGUGGGAACUGCAUUUGAAACUGGCAACCUGGAGUGUAGGAGAGGAUAGUGGAAUUCCAGGUGUAGGAGUGAAAUCCGUAGAUAUCUGGAGGAACAUCAGUGGCGAAGGCGACUAUCUGGCACAUAACUGACGCUGAGGAGCGAAAGCGUGGGUAGCAAACAGGAUUAGAUACCCGAGUAGUC